rnacentral:rRNA from 1 species
UGGGGAAUAUUGCACAAUGGGGGAAACCCUGAUGCAGCGACGCCGCGUGAGCGAAGAAGGUUUUCGAAUCGUAAAGCUCUGUCCUAUGAGAAGAUAAUGACGGUAUCAUAGGAGGAAGCCCCGGCUAACUACGUGCCAGCAGCCGCGGUAAUACGUAGGGGGCGAGCGUUGUCCGGAAUUACUGGGCGUAAAGGGUUCGCGGGCGGCAUGGCAAGUCCGAUGUAAAAGGCGAAGGCGCAACCUUCGUAAGCAUCGGAAACUGUCAAGCUUGAGUGAAGGAGAGGCGAGUGGAAUUCCUAGUGUAGCGGUGGAAUGCGUAGAUAUUAGGAGGAAUACCGGUGGCGAAGGCGACUUGCUGGACUUCAACUGACGCUGAGGAACGAAAGCGUGGGUAGCAAACAGG